AUUGAACGCUGGCGGCAUGCCUUACACACGCAAGUCGAACGGCAGCACGGGAGCAAUCCUGGUGGCGAGUGGCGAACGGGUGAGUAAAGUAUCGGAACGUGCCCAGUCGUGGGGGAUAACGUAGCGAAAGUUACGCUAAUACCGCAUACGAUCUAUGGAUGAAAGCGGGGGAUCGCAAGACCUCGCGCGAUUGGAGCGGCCGAUAUCAGAUUAGGUAGUUGGUGGGGUAAAGGCUCACCAAGCCGACGAUCUGUAGCUGGUCUGAGAGGACGACCAGCCAAACGGGGACGGGGACACGGCCCAGACUCCUACGGGAGGCAGCAGUGGGGAAUUUUGGACAAGGGGCGAAAGCCUGAUCCAGCCAUGCCGCGUGCAGGAUGAAGGCCUUCGGGUUGUAAACUGCUUUUGUACGGAACGAAAAGGUUUGGCCUAAUAAGCUGAGCUCAUGACGGUACCGUAAGAAUAAGCACCGGCUAACUACGUGCCAGCCGCCGCCGUAA
rnacentral:rRNA from 1 species